rnacentral:rRNA from 1 species
CCAAUAGCGUAUAUUAAAGUUGUUGCAGUUAAAAAGCUCGUAGUUGAAUUUCGAGACCGGUCUACUGGUCGUGCUUUUGUACGUACUGGUUUUAUUGGUUUCUCCUUUCUGACGAACUAUAAUGCCAUUAAUUUGGUGUUAUGGGGAAUCAGGACUGUUACUUUGAAAAAAUUAGAGUGUUUAAAGCAGGCUCACGCUUGAAUACAUUAGCAUGGAAUAACGAAAUAGGACGUUUGAUUUUAUUUUGUUGGUUUCUAGGAUCGACGUAACGAUUAAUAGGGAUAGUUGGGGGCAUUAGUAUUCAAUUGUCAGAGGUGAAAUUCUUGGAUUUAUUGAAGACUAACUACUGCGAAAGCAUUUGCCAAGGAUGUUUUCAUUAAUCAAGAACGAAAGUUAGGGGAUCGAAGACGAUCAGAUACCGUCGUAGUCUUAACCAUAAACUAUGCCGACUAGGGAUCGGAUGAUGUUAAUUUUUUAAUGACUCAUUCGGCGCCUUACG